CUUCUCACUUUGGCAGCACAUAUGCUAAAAUUGGAACGAUACAGAGAUUAGCAUGGCCCCUGAACAAGGACAACACACAAAUUUGUGAGGCGUUCCAAAUGUUU